ACCUGACUUCUAUGAUAAACAUGGGAAACAGAUGACUUCAAAGAAACAAUUCAAUAGAUUUCUACCAAUAAUAUUGGUUUUCACUGAGGGAAAUAAUGAAGUAUUUGGAAGAAUAGAAACUAGUGUGGUCACCCAUGCCAGUGGUUGUCAGCUCAUGGACAGAAGUCUUUCAGACACAUUCCCAAACACUCUCUCCAAAAUGGCUUAUUCUUCACAUUAUUGGUUCUGAAAUUAUUUCAAGAUACAGCUCUGGAAAAUGAAGAUUGUCUCAGAAAGUGUGGCCGGAGGCUAGUGAGAUGGCUUUGUGGCCUUCAAAAUCAGGAGUCUUGACCUGGAGCAAAGAAGAAGCAGAUGCAACCCAGAAGAGUCCGGGUUGAUGGAAUACUUCAUUUCUAAGCAUGGUGGCACAGGGCUUCAAGUCUACAAUUAGAGUGACCAGGGCCAACCCCCCUGCAAAGGACUCAGUCAUUCCAGACCUUGAUGAUAAAAGUUGGGAGCUGGUCUGAAGCUCGGCUGUAAAAUGGCUGCCUUGUGAGAAGAGAGAGUGAAAUCAGAAAAAUCGCUUCUAACCCCAACUCCCAGGAUUACACAUCUCCAGACUCUGUCCCUCCCCCUGUCUUCCAUCCCGAGCUUUUCAAAGCCAUGUGUUGUCAGCAAUUUAUGAAUGUGAAUAAUGUGAUUUACAUUCCUUUGAUUUAAUAUAGUGAUUAAGUGUC